rnacentral:RNase_P_RNA from 1 species
GCCGGGGGAAGCUCGCCGGUGAGGCCACGCGCGGGGUGCCCGUCACCCUCCCUCCGCCUCUGGGAAGGUCUGAGAGAAGGGCCCGGGCUGCCCCAGCAGGGCGCCGCCCGCCCGGGCGGGUGAGCCCCCAGCCAUGGGGCCCGGCCGGGGCCGCCUCGGGCAGGAGAAGCGGCCGCGCCUGCGCCGGCGCCCCGCGGAUGUCCAGCCCCGGCCCGGCUUGGGAACGACUCACGGCCGGCGGCGCGAGUGCAAUGGGCCGAGGCAGCGCUGCCCGCGGGGCUGCAACCCAAUUCAGACUACUCUCCCCCGGGC